AUCACCGGCAAGAGUGAGGAGUAUUGGCAGCAGCACGCAGGCGGGCAGGCUGGGAGUUUGCAUGGAAAUCAUGAAGUCUUGUCUUUCUCUUUUCAAAUGUUUUGGAAGGAGAGUUAAGAAUAGCUCAGAAACCAAACCGGUCUCGCUCUUUUUUGUGGGAAGAAUGACCUGCAGCAUAAAAGCUAAAUCUUGCAGCAAGUGCAAGACACUUCUUUCGGGUAUUUGCAGGCAACCUAACAGAAUGAAUGGUUGUCUGUAAAGGACUGUGCCAUGACACCCCAAAUGAAGGGACUGGUAAAGCAAAGUAAUGACUCAAAGGCUGCCACGGAGCUUUUGUCUACUUUUAACUCAUUGUGGCGAAGUUGGACAUUCCAAAGAUGGCGUAGAUGAACAUGACCAGGAAGAGCAGGAGGCCGAUGUUGAACAGCGCAGGCAGGGACAUCAUCAAAGCAAAGAGCAGCGUGCGGAUCCCCUUGGCCCCUUUGAUCAGACGCAGGAUGCGGCCAAUCCUGGCAAGACGGAUCACUCGGAACAGGGUAGGGGACACAAAAUA